AGAGCGAACGCUGGCGGCAGGCCUAAUACAUGCAAGUCGAGCGGCCACUUCGGUGGCAGCGGCGGACGGGUGAGUAACGCGUGGGAAUGUGCCCUUUGGUACGGAACAACUGAGGGAAACUUCAGCUAAUACCGUAUGUGCCCUUCGGGGGAAAGAUUUAUUGCCAUUGGAGCAGCCCGCGUUGGAUUAGCUAGUUGGUGGGGUAAAGCCCACAAGGCGACGAUCCAUAGCUGGUCUGAGAGGAUGAUCAGCCACACUGGGACUGAGACACGGCCCAGACUCCUACGGGAGGCAGCAGUAGGGAAUCUUGCGCAAUGGGCAAAGCCUGACGCAGCCAUCGCCGCGUGAAUGAUGAAGGUCUUAGAUUGUAAAAUUCUUUCACCGGGAAGAUAAUGACGUACCGGAGAAGAACGCCCGGCUAACUUCGUAGCCAGCAGCCGAC
rnacentral:rRNA from 1 species